GGAGGAGGAGAUCCAGCAGCAGGAGGAGGAGAUCCAGCAGCAUCAGCAGGAGAUCCAGCAGCAGGAGGAGGAGAUCCAGCAGCAGCAGCAGGAGAUCCAGCAGCAGCAGGAGGAGGAGAUCCAGCAGGGGUACCUGCAGGCUGCAGGGAUGCUUCUGCUCCUCAUCAGCUGGUCUGGACCAACGGGGCUGCAGCCAUCAGUCAGAAACCUUCCACCAUGACUUUAUGGCCAUUUAUUUUAUGAUGUUUUCAAAUAACUGUAUACAGAGUAGUUUGUAUUAAUUUAGUUUCUAACAUUUCAGAUGAAACUUUUCUGUAAAACCAGGUUUUGAUAAACUGAAUUGAUGUUUGCAGUGAAAAGUCAGACAUCACAUAAGCUGUAAGACAUGAUCCCGAUUAUAACGAAUAAAUGAAACUUUUCU